UUAAGCGACUAAGCGUACACGGUGGAUGCCCUGGCAGUCAGAGGCGAUGAAGGACGUGCUAAUCUGCGAUAAGCGUCGGUGAGGUGAUAUGAACCGUUAUAACCGGCGAUUUCCGAAUGGGGAAACCCAGUGUGUUUCGACACACUAUCAUUAACUGAAUCCAUAGGUUAAUGAGGCGAACCGGGGGAACUGAAACAUCUAAGUACCCCGAGGAAAAGAAAUCAACCGAGAUUCCCCCAGUAGCGGCGAGCGAACGGGGAGGAGCCCAGAGCCUGAAUCAGUGUGUGUGUUAGUGGAAGCGUCUGGAAAGGCGCGCGAUACAGGGUGACAGCCCCGUACACAAAAAUGCACAUAUUGUGAGCUCGAUGAGUAGGGCGGGACACGUGGUAUCCUGUCUGAAUAUGGGGGGACCAUCCUCCAAGGCUAAAUACUCCUGACUGACCGAUAGUGAACCAGUACCGUGAGGGAAAGGCGAAAAGAACCCCGGCGAGGGGAGUGAAAAAGAACCUGAAACCGUGUACGUACAAGCAGUGGGAGCCUCUUUAUGGGGUGACUGCGUACCUUUUGUAUAAUGGGUCAGCGACUUAUAUUCUGUAGCAAGGUUAACCGAAUAGGGGAGCCGAAGGGAAACCGAGUCUUAACUGGGCGUUAAGUUGCAGGGUAUAGACCCGAAACCCGGUGAUCUAGCCAUGGGCAGGUUGAAGGUUGGGUAACACUAACUGGAGGACCGAACCGACUAAUGUUGAAAAAUUAGCGGAUGACUUGUGGCUGGGGGUGAAAGGCCAAUCAAACCGGGAGAUAGCUGGUUCUCCCCGAAAGCUAUUUAGGUAGCGCCUCGUGAAUUCAUCUCCGGGGGUAGAGCACUGUUUCGGCAAGGGGGUCAUCCCGACUUACCAACCCGAUGCAAACUGCGAAUACCGGAGAAUGUUAUCACGGGAGACACACGGCGGGUGCUAACGUCCGUCGUGAAGAGGGAAACAACCCAGACCGCCAGCUAAGGUCCCAAAGUCAUGGUUAAGUGGGAAACGAUGUGGGAAGGCCCAGACAGCCAGGAUGUUGGCUUAGAAGCAGCCAUCAUUUAAAGAAAGCGUAAUAGCUCACUGGUCGAGUCGGCCUGCGCGGAAGAUGUAACGGGGCUAAACCAUGCACCGAAGCUGCGGCAGCGACACUAUGUGUUGUUGGGUAGGGGAGCGUUCUGUAAGCCUGUGAAGGUGGCCUGUGAGGGUUGCUGGAGGUAUCAGAAGUGCGAAUGCUGACAUAAGUAACGAUAAAGCGGGUGAAAAGCCCGCUCGCCGGAAGACCAAGGGUUCCUGUCCAACGUUAAUCGGGGCAGGGUGAGUCGACCCCUAAGGCGAGGCCGAAAGGCGUAGUCGAUGGGAAACAGGUUAAUAUUCCUGUACUUGGUGUUACUGCGAAGGGGGGACGGAGAAGGCUAUGUUGGCCGGGCGACGGUUGUCCCGGUUUAAGCGUGUAGGCUGGUUUUCCAGGCAAAUCCGGAAAACCAAGGCUGAGGCGUGAUGACGAGGCACUACGGUGCUGAAGCGACAAAUGCCCUGCUUCCAGGAAAAGCCUCUAAGCAUCAGGUAACAUCAAAUCGUACCCCAAACCGACACAGGUGGUCAGGUAGAGAAUACCAAGGCGCUUGAGAGAACUCGGGUGAAGGAACUAGGCAAAAUGGUGCCGUAACUUCGGGAGAAGGCACGCUGAUAUGUAGGUGAAGCGACUUGCUCGUGGAGCUGAAAUCAGUCGAAGAUACCAGCUGGCUGCAACUGUUUAUUAAAAACACAGCACUGUGCAAACACGAAAGUGGACGUAUACGGUGUGACGCCUGCCCGGUGCCGGAAGGUUAAUUGAUGGGGUUAGCGGUAACGCGAAGCUCUUGAUCGAAGCCCCGGUAAACGGCGGCCGUAACUAUAACGGUCCUAAGGUAGCGAAAUUCCUUGUCGGGUAAGUUCCGACCUGCACGAAUGGCGUAAUGAUGGCCAGGCUGUCUCCACCCGAGACUCAGUGAAAUUGAACUCGCUGUGAAGAUGCAGUGUACCCGCGGCAAGACGGAAAGACCCCGUGAACCUUUACUAUAGCUUGACACUGAACAUUGAGCCUUGAUGUGUAGGAUAGGUGGGAGGCUUUGAAGUGUGGACGCCAGUCUGCAUGAAGCCGACCUUGAAAUACCACCCUUUAAUGUUUGAUGUUCUAACGUUGGCCCGUAAUCCGGGUUGCGGACAGUGUCUGGUGGGUAGUUUGACUGGGGCGGUCUCCUCCUAAAGAGUAACGGAGGAGCACGAAGGUUGGCUAAUCCUGGUCGGACAUCAGGAGGUUAGUGCAAUGGCAUAAGCCAGCUUGACUGCGAGCGUGACGGCGCGAGCAGGUGCGAAAGCAGGUCAUAGUGAUCCGGUGGUUCUGAAUGGAAGGGCCAUCGCUCAACGGAUAAAAGGUACUCCGGGGAUAACAGGCUGAUACCGCCCAAGAGUUCAUAUCGACGGCGGUGUUUGGCACCUCGAUGUCGGCUCAUCACAUCCUGGGGCUGAAGUAGGUCCCAAGGGUAUGGCUGUUCGCCAUUUAAAGUGGUACGCGAGCUGGGUUUAGAACGUCGUGAGACAGUUCGGUCCCUAUCUGCCGUGGGCGCUGGAGAACUGAGGGGGGCUGCUCCUAGUACGAGAGGACCGGAGUGGACGCAUCACUGGUGUUCGGGUUGUCAUGCCAAUGGCACUGCCCGGUAGCUAAAUGCGGAAGAGAUAAGUGCUGAAAGCAUCUAAGCACGAAACUUGCCCCGAGAUGAGUUCUCCCUGACUCCUUGAGAGUCCUGAAGGAACGUUGAAGACGACGACGUUGAUAGGCCGGGUGUGUAAGCGCAGCGAUGCGUUGAGCUAACCGGUACUAAUGAACCGUGAGGCUUAACCUU
rnacentral:rRNA from 2 species